rnacentral:sRNA from 1 species
AUGGGAUCGCCAACUUCACAUCACUACAAUCGCUUUACAUUGAAAAUUUCCCAAAUUUGGCAGCACUACCAGAAGAAAUAAGCAAUCUCACGUCACUGCAUUACCUUCAAAUUACUCAUUGCUCUAAUUUGGCAUCACUGCCAGAAGGGAUUCGUGGACUCCCCUGUUUAAAUACAUUGUACAUUUAUGAUUGCCCCAAGUUACUCCAAAGAUACAAGCAAGAAAGAGGUGAGUACUGGCACAAGGUUGCUCACAUCCCAUACCUUAUUAUUGAUUAAGAUGACAUGCUAUGUGGAUAAAUGAUUCCGUCCACACUUCUGCUUUCUCAUUGAGCAACACUAGUUCCACGGUGAAGUGGGUGUUCAUCUAGCGCUUUUUGUGAUGUAGUGUUGUGAAGAUUGUGACGGAGCAAAUACUUUCGUGGCCCAUGGCAGGUGCUAAACUUGAUAAUUGUGGAUAAUGGUCCGAAUACAACAGAUUUGGGUGAUGCAUGGUUCUUAAAUUCUCCAGAAGAAUCGCUGGGAUUCAUCCUUGCAGAUGAAGGUUUCAAUGUAUGGGUAGGGAACGCGCAUGGAACACGUUGGAGUCAUGAUCACACAUCUUCAUCAGAAGAGAAUAAUGUUUAUACUUUAUUUUAGGAUUUUUAGGAUUGGAGUUGGCAGGAAUUGGCUCUAUUUGAUCUAUCAGAAAUGAUGCGCUGCAUAUAUUUGACAACAAGCUCCAAAGUCUUUGUUGUUGGACGUUCACAGGGAACAAUCAUGUCUUUAACUGCUCUCAGCCAGCCAGAUAUAGCAGAACUAGUUGAAGUUGCCGCUCUUUUCAUCCAAUAUCAUACUUGGAGCAUCACUUCUAAAUUUGCACCUAAAAUAGUCAACAUAUAUGUUGAUCAGUGAAUGGGACGUCAACCUUUUGGAUUCAAUAUGUGAUGGCCAUGUUGACUGCUUUGUGUGGUUGUAUAUGAUUUUGCUUUUGAUUGUCGGGGUUUAGGUACUAUGUCCCCUACUGUAUGUUUUUUAUUCAAGUAAUAUAAUAUGGGCGUGAGGGCCUAGCCCCCCAGCUUCGACUGGGUUCCAGCCCUCGUUAAAUGUUUCUUUUCAAUAUAUGUUGAUGUAUUGAAAAAAGGCACAUUUUGAAUGUUCGUCCCGAGCACCAGAAAACUCAAGACCGGCCCUCAUUUGAAGGGCGAGGAAGCAAUCCACCCACGCAACCUUUUGUUUUGCAGAAUAUAGCUUUAGCAAUUUCAGUCAAUAAGGGUGUAAAAUGUUGUUAAGAGAGAACCCCACGGAAGUGUAAAAGUGUGCAAGGUGCAUGACCUUGUACGCUAACUUGCCCUUUCAAUUUUGAAAGCUGAGAAAUUGUGUUAAAAAAAACAAUGA